rnacentral:tRNA from 1 species
UUGUAGGAAUAGCUUGAAUUUUGAGUUUAAGAAAGGUAAUUUAAUUUACCCUUACAUU